UUGUAAAAUGAAUUGUAUUCUUUAUAUUUGAGGCUGCAGUUUGUUUGAAGCACAUAGAUAUGAAUUGUUUAGGACAUGUGAAUCUUGUACCCUGCACCUUAUGUGAUUUUUGAAUUUGUUCUAAAAGGUUUUAAGUGGAGAUGUAAGUUUCUUAUAUGAAAGGUUGUGUCCUCAGGAAACAGAAACAGUGCUUAAUUCUUCCUUUCUGGUUUGGAAACUUUCAUUUCUUAUUCUUGAGUAAAUUCUAGGGCUAGAACUUGGAGUACUUUGUUGAAAGUUGCUGCAAGCCUUGUCUGGUUCCUGAUCUGAGAAGAAAAUCUUGAAGCUUGUCAGCCUCUCAGUGCGAUGUCAGGAUGGGCUUCUCAUGUAUGAUCUUUGCUGUGCUGAGGUCCAUUCUUCCUAUACAUGGCUUCAGAAACUGACCUGCCUGCAGUGCCCCACCUCCUAACCUGCUGCCUGUAAACACCUGUCCUGCUCCACAGCUGUGGUGCAUCCACAUGUAGAAGUUGAGAUUUGCACUUGGAUGGAUGACAUUCCAUCAGUAUUGGCUGUGUAAUGGACUUCCCUUUUCAUAUAGUGCUUCCCUGAGUGAGUCAGGGGCCUCAGGCCUACAGGGAGGAGUUCUGGUAGCAGGGUCAUUGCAGCCCUCUUCUGUCCAGUGUGCAGUGUAUUCUGCUUUGCUGAGAAUCUGACUUGUGGCUCAGGAGGCCUGGACCUCAGGAUUUCUUGCCCCUGGUGCCAAGGUGUCUUCUACCACUGCCUGGCCCAUUUUCCCCUGACAUAAGAUCUCCACAGAGAUCUGAGCACCCCUAGACUUCCUCUUCAAGGCUCCAACUCAAUGUGGAGACUUCAGGUUUGAAAUCUGUGACUAUGAAAUUCAACCUGUAUGCAUUUAACCUGGAAAAUGUACUGCUAAGUCUUCAUUAUAAAAAGUGAGAUUGAAAGACACCCGUGUUCUUUUUUACUCAGUUAAGGUGUGAAAAAUUAGAAACCAUGAACAUAGCACACAGCAAAAUUGCUGAGUGAAUUAUAAACUUACAGGCACAGAAAAUGCUAAAAGAAGGCCAUGUUCUAGGCCAUGUCCCCAGUCUUAGUAGAGAUGACAGAAAGCUUAUGGCUUGGCCCUCUCUCCACCCAGCAGUGAAGAGACACAGGCCCUCACAACAGGCAAGGACAGGAGAGAGGAGCUGCUGGAUGGCAGACCACUCAUCCUAAAUGGCCCUGAUAGGUACAUUGUGAUCCCCUCUCACACUGCUGAGCCCUGGCUCUCUUCCUACCCAGCCUUGUACUCUGUGCUGCCCCCCCUCACACACACACCUUGGGAAGAGGUGGCAUCUCUCUUUGGUUUAAGUAAGUUGUCUCAGGUGACAUUUUUUUCAACUAAGGCAAAAUGCAAUUUCCACCUUUAUAUGGACCUUGCUCUGCUUCUCCCACCCUACUUCUGUCUUCUGAAUCUGCGACUGACAAGCCCAUGGAGGACUCUGCUACUGGAGAACUAUUUGUAUGCCAUUAAUAUAUGCUCUCUUAUUACAAAUGACAGAUUUAGAAAAAUUAAAAAAAAAGAAAAUCUUGGUAUAUUUAUCUAUGUCACCAGGUUUGUGUUAGUUCCCUGUGCCACUUCCCCACCCAACAAUGACAUUGUAUGAUAAAGGAUUUUGAGAGUAAAACCAAGAAGAGCAUUCACAUUUCCAGUAUUUUGCAGCUCCAUUCAUUAAGUGAUGGGCAAGUCUCCCAGGCUCUGCCUCACUCUGCCUCUGUCCCUCUGAUUGUCUCACGCACAUCUCUGUGUGUAUGCACAUUGAUGGCAGAGAUAUUUCAUUGUAAAAACUGAGAUCUUCCACACACAAAUCCAUCUUGCAUCAAUGGGAAUUUCAUAAUCAGAUCCCUUGGCCUCUUUCCCUGUGGGCCCAGAGAUACUGAGCUCAGCUUCCCUGAAGCUUCCCCUGCUUUCUGUGGUCUACACUGGUGCCCUGCACACUCUACCUGCAGGGUAGGGAGGGUCCUAGUUCCUUCCUUUUCUAAAAGUGCUAUGAACAACAAUCUUGAAAAGAAAGUUAAAAUGUUAUGCAGAUUUUUCUUUAUUUUUUUUUUGUGUUGUUGUUGUGCAGCUCUCUGUGUGGGAGAAACCUCUAUGCUUAGCUCAGAGAGGUCCAGGGACCCUGUGUAGAGCUCGGAUGGGAGCUGAGGGAAAUGGUUCUGCUUCCCCCACACCAUUUCCUCCCCAUUGCUGUUCCCCACUUACCUUAAAUCCUGAAGUCAAAUGGGGACACAGCAUCACUCAGUGACAUGGCCCUGAAUGUAUCUUCAGUGGGAAACUGUGCAUUUUGUACAUUUGUUUGCCAUAUGAGGAGAUUCCCUUUUGCAUUGCAAGUAUUUGUCUCUUACCUCACAAAACAAAUGGAAAAGCAAUUCCAACCUCAAA